rnacentral:pre_miRNA from 1 species
AUUGUACUCCCUCUGUUUUGAAUUACUUGUCGCAGUAUGAAUGUAUUUAGAUGUAUUUUCGUUCUAGAUACAUCCAUUUCAGCGACGAGUAAUUUGAAACGGAUGGAGUAAUAC